GCGCCAGUGGUGGAAUUGGUAGACACGUCAAGUUUAGGUCCUGAUGCCGCGAGGUUUGGGGGUUCAAGUCCCUCCUGGGCACCA
rnacentral:tRNA from 1 species